AUAUCCGGCUGACCAGUGACCAUUAAAGUAGUUGCCUUUUCCAGCGUUUCUUCAUGAGAGAAUUAAACAAAAAAAAACUUUGACAAGGACAGCUGUAAAAUCUUUGGUUCAGAGGUUACGGUCAAAAUCAUAAUUUCUAUAUCUGCUCUUUUACUUUCUCUGGUUUUUUUACUUUAAACUUCCUAUUUCUCUCUUUUUUCGCCUA